rnacentral:rRNA from 1 species
AUUGAACGCUGGCGGCAGGCCUAACACAUGCAAGUCGAACGAGUGGCGGACGGGUGAGUAAUGUCUGGUAAACUGCCCGAUGGAGGGGGAUAACUACUUGAAACGGUAGCUAAUACCGCAUCCCAUCUGAUUUGCCCAGAUGGGAUUAGCUAGUAGGUGGGGUAAUGGCUCACAUAGACGACGAUCCCUAGCUGGUCUGAGAGGAUGACCAGCAAAACUGGAACGGAGAACAGGGCCAGAUGCCUACGGGAGGCAGCAGUGGGGAAUAUUGCAAAAGGGGCGAAGGCCGGAUGCAGACAUGCCGCGGGGAUGAAGAAGGCAUUCGGGUUGUAAAGUACGUUAAGCGAGGAGGCGUUACUCGCAGAAGAAGCACCGGCUAACUCCGUGCCAGCAGCCGCGGUAAUUC